CAAUUUUUAUGUUUUGUUUUGCAGGUCUUUUGAUGCAUCAAACGCGUUUUGCUAAUUAUUAUUCAUUCAGAAAAAUAAAGGCUACUCAUCUACGCAAAAAAAAAAACUUCUCAACCUACCAGGGUUGGGAUUGUUUAGUUCAAUGAUUUCAGAAGACAUUUUCAUGGCAUUUUCAUUCUAUAGGUGUUGUUGUCGCCCUUUUUAUCUCUUCAGAUGAUGGAUAUCCAAAUUGCCUAAAGCGGGUCAUUGCUGAUGAUGUUGAUCCAAUGUGUACCAGAGAGAGGAGAUGUAUUUCCUCCUCAUUCUUAACAGAUAUGCCUAAAGUGAGAUGGGUCAUCAUCGGCUUUCGCAGCAUCUCCACCUAAAAAAUUGACGACGUUGAUGGUUGGUAUACCAGCGAGAUCGAAGCGUUCGCAAUAGAAACAUAGUAGCAAUCUAAGCUUCUACAACAUCUGCACAAAAUCGAAGCGGAUCGAACUACAUUUUCAUUCAUAGAAGGGAAGAAAUAAACCACACUCUUUAGCCACCAAAUUGGGUCUUCUUCCGUACGCGUACUCAUCAUUUUGAAAGGACAACCAAAACUUUUCAAUAAAGAAUCCAAGUGCAUGAGAAACUUUUCGUACUUAACCAUAUAAAGUUAAAAUUCAAAAUCAUGAUUAGUGCUUUCAGUAUGUUUGAUUUUCUUUUUUAUGUCCUUGGAAUUUUUCAGAGUGCUCUCAGUAGUCUAAUCUGAGAUAUAAUCCAUAAAAUUUAUGUAUAGGCGGCCUCUAAAGGUCAUUACUGCACAUGCAUCAAUUAUGGAAU